rnacentral:rRNA from 1 species
GACGAACGCUGGCGGCGUGCUUAACACAUGCAAGUCGAACGGAAAGGCCCUGCUUUUGUGGGGUUCUCGAGUGGCGAACGGGUGAGUAACACGUGAGUAACCUGCCCUUUACUUUGGGAUAACUUCAGGAAACUGGGGCUAAUACCGGAUAGGAGCUCCUGCUGCAUGGUGGGGGUUGGAAAGUUUCGGCGGUUGGGGAUGGACUCGCGGCUUAUCAGCUUGUUGGUGGGGUAGUGGCUUACCAAGGCUUUGACGGGUAGCCGGCCUGAGAGGGUGACCGGCCACAUUGGGACUGAGAUACGGCCCAGACUCCUACGGGAGGCAGCAGUGGGGAAUAUUGCACAAUGGGCGGAAGCCUGAUGCAGCAACGCCGCGUGCGGGAUGACGGCCUUCGGGUUGUAAACCGCUUUCGCCUGUGACGCAGCGUGAGUGACGGUAAUGGGUAAAGAAGCACCGGCUAACUACGUG